GACGAACGCUGGCGGCGUGCUUAACACAUGCAAGUCGAACGGAAAGGCCCUGCUUUUGUGGGGUGCUCGAGUGGCGAACGGGUGAGUAACACGUGAGUAACCUGCCCUUGACUUUGGGAUAACUUCAGGAAACUGGGGCUAAUACCGGAUAGGAGCUCCUGCUGCAUGGUGGGGGUUGGAAAGUUUCGGCGGUUGGGGAUGGACUCGCGGCUCAUCAGCUUGUUGGUGGGGUAGUGGCUUACCAAGGCUUCGACGGGUAGCCGGCCUGAGAGGGUGACCGGCCACAUUGGGACUGAGAUGCGGCCCAGACUGCUACGGGAGGCAGCAGUGGGGAAUAUUGCACAGUGGGCGGAAGCCGGAUGCAGCAGCUCCGCGUGCGGGAUGACGGCCUUCGGGUUGUAAACCGCUUUCGCCUGUGACGAAGCGUGAGUGACGGUAAUGGGUAAAGAAGCACCGGCUAACUACGUG
rnacentral:rRNA from 1 species